AAAAAAAAAUCAAGUAACAAAUUAUUACAAGGGAAUGGAAUUACACGGACAAUGAUUUGGAUACAUAGUAGACCCGAAUCAUCUAGUCGUUGUGGACUUUGUCUCUCGUAUAAAUCAAUUCGAUUACCGUUUUGUAAUAUUAUUACACAUUACGAUAUGAUAUUUCAAUCAUUGUUUAUGUAUAUUAUAAAUCUAUAGAAAUCGGAAGCGGACUCAACAAAGACGAAGCUGAGUGGGACGAAGAUGUAGGGUGAGACGAGCAGGAAACGUAGAUUUCGUCUCUAUAAAACAAUUCGGGCCCACGCAGUGUCUAUAUUGCCAGGACAUCCGGAAUUGAAAAUCGGAUAAAAAAAUUUAAUGAAGACUAUACAGUGUAC